rnacentral:rRNA from 1 species
AAAGAAACCAACAGGGAUUGCCCUAGUAACGGCGAGUGAAGCGGCAACAGCUCAAAUUUGAAAUCUGGCCUCGGCCCGAGUUGUAAUUUGUAGAGGAAGCUUUUGGCGCGGCACCUUCUGAGUCCCCUGGAACGGGGCGCCAUGGAGGGUGAGAGCCCCGUAUAGUCGGAUGCCUAGCCUUUGUAAAGCUCCUUCGACGAGUCGAGUAGUUUGGGAAUGCUGCUCAAAAUGGGAGGUAAAUUUCUUCUAAAGCUAAAUACCGGCCAGAGACCGAUAGCGCACAAGUAGAGUGAUCGAAAGAUGAAAAGCACUUUGAAAAGAGGGUCAAACAGCACGUGAAAUUGUUGAAAGGGAAGCGCUUGUGACCAGACUUGCGCCGGGCUGAUCAUCCGGUGUUCUCACCGGUGCACUCGGCCCGGCUCAGGCCAGCAUCGGUUCUCGCGGGGGGACAAAGGUCCUGGGAACGUAGCUCCUCCGGGAGUGUUAUAGCCCAGGGCGCAAUGCCCCCGCGGGGACCGAGGUCGCGCU